UUCGGGAGGGCCGCCAGCGCGCCAACAGGCCCACCCCUGGGCCUUCCGGCCGCUCCCCUCCCUCGGCCGCCUUCCCGGAUCCUGUGCUGGGCCUGCCCGUGCCGCCAUUUCCUCUCGCGGGCCCGGAGGCUCACUUCCACUCCUCGGAGUCUGCAAAUGGCCGGUGCCCGGAACAGCCUGUCCCUCGGAAGAGCCCGUGCCCUGCCGGGCCAGGUCCCAGAGUGCAGCCAGCCCGGCCAAAGGGCCUUCCUUCACCUCCCGGGAGCCGGGUGGGCGCCCCGGGCUGGGGACAAUGACCCAUCACGGUGGGGCAGUGCAGCGCCUGGCGGGUGUCCCCGGGGGUGGCCCACGGGCUCCAUUGCUCACUGAGAAGCCACGGAGAGCGCCUGCCUCGAGGAGACACGGUGCCUCCAAAGGCCAGCCCACCUCCGGAAACCACCGACAUACCAAGAGAAGCACAGGACCGUGUAUGUGUGCGCGCGCGUGUUACAUGCGUAUGACACGCGUGUGCACGGUGUUGCAGGCACAGGACACGCGUGUGCACACAUGUGUUACGUGCACCGGACGCCGUGUGCUUGUGCGUUACACACAGGACACGUGCAGGCACAUGGGUUGCAUGGCAGGACACGUGUGCACACGUGUGUCACGUGCACAGGACACGUGUGUGUGUGACCUGCACACACCGAGGUGCGCACACGCUGGCAAAGGCUUGCGGUCCCCACCUGACCACUGUGGGGACCUGCAGAACGAACAUGGGCUUUGGAGGACGGCGGGCCUGGGUCGAACCCCAUCCCAAUCUUCACCAGCUAGUUGAAUGCGAGGGCUCCGCUUCGGGCCCAGCGCCUUCCCUGGCUGAAUGGAGCCGGCGAGAACCCCCGCUCGGCAGGCAUUUCUGAGACUCAGAAAUAAACCAAGGACUGCCAGCAGGUAUGGGGUGCUCUCCGUGAACCGAGCGCCGUGCUAAGUGUGCACUGUGUGUGUUCCUCCAAGGCGGGGACACUUACUGCACCCAUUUUACAGAGGAGGAAACAGGGCCACGGAGAGACGAAAUGGGGCCACGGAGAGACGAAAUGGGGCCAUGGAGAGACGAAAUGGCUUGCCUUGGAUCAACACAGCCGGGAAACGAAACCGACUGGGUCUGAGCCCCAGCCUCAGGCCCAGAGCUCACGCUCCUCUGUACUCUGCUUUCUCGAACGGGAAAGGUGCCCAGCGUGGUGCGGGCGCCCUGGGCGGGCACUGCUCCCAGUACAACCACCAUCACCCUCGCUUCUUUGCCGUUGAAUCGCAGGGCAGGGGCUGCUCUGCCUUGCCGACCUUUAAGAGCACCCAGACCGGCGUCAGCCACGUUCUCGGAGCUGCUGGUACUUUUCCUUGAAAUAAACAAGCCACAACAAAGCACUUCUAUUAACGAAUGGAAGGAGCCUCGGGGAGCCCGCAGAAGACGGAGGAAGGAAGCACCCGUGUCUCUCUCGUUCAGGUUCGGCAGCGAGGGAAGGCGGCCUCAGCGGCUGGGAAGGGCAGAGCCUGAACCCAAAAUUUGGAAAAAGCAGAAGCAGUCACUCGAAAAUGAGGCGGAGGGGGGCGUGGGGAAGAACCCUCAGAACCGAUUACAUCAUAACGUGAGCAAAUUCACAAAAUAAACAGUCACCGUUUUCAAAUUACGGUGGCCGUAAAACUUCUCUGUCCUCACGUGCGCUGAUGGCCAAUGAAUUCUGCACCUCGUUAUCUUGGUGAGAUUAUUAUUUUUUUUUCAAGUUUACAGCUACUCUUUGCAGUUCACCUGUUGAAUGUUUUUUGGGGGGUGGGGAGAGAUUUAAAUGUACCUUUAAACCAGGCAAAAUAUUUGUUAUGUGAUCUUUCAUAAACAUCCCCAAAUAAAUUUAUGUCAGCCUAUACAGAACAGCUAGAGAUUUCAUGAAGAUCUCAAAAUCUAAAGUCCCAAACCCCGUAAUUUUGAAUUUUAAUCUAGUGUUAACCCCGUUCACGCUGCCACACAAAAUAAAAAUUGGUAAUUAAUUAAAGCACUUAAGGUCCGUUAACGUAGGGCAUUUGGAGUCUUAAAAGGCAAAGACAAAGACCAAAAUUUAAAUUAUCAUCUAAUGACGGUGAGGGUGUUUCCUCUACCGAAUUGCUCAGGGCACCGUUUCACCACACAAGCGCAACUUGUUUAUUUUGACCUCAGUUCUUUGAAAUUGUCGACUCCACAAUUGAAAUAUGCUGUGUGUUCCAACAAGGACCCAGCAGUCGUAAUGACAGACCAGCCCAUCUGUGUUGUGAGAAUGUAUAAUUUCAGCCUAUAGUGGAAUUUAUAUAGAAGCGAUGAUAGGAACACUGACUGCUCUGUGUGGUACUUUCCCAAAGGAAAAAAAAAAAAAAACGCACAAAAAAACAACAAAAAAAACCAGCCAAGAAGAAAUGGAUGCCGUGAAGAAGGCUGAUAUUUUGCCCGAUUCAGGACACAAAAGAUUCCAUGGCAUUUUCCUGACUUGGGGAUGGGGGGAGGAGGCAGAAUGUUAUUACCCAAGUUGAAAAAACAAAGAUGGUCACCGAUUACGCAUAACCACCCUGCUCUGCUGGAAAACGUGUUAUGCGUAUACGUUACAACCUUCAGGUGAACAGAAUCUCGGUGGAAAAUACUAACUCAGGAUGAAAAUGCUCAUCUGCGGAAAUUAAUUGAUUUUAUGCUACUUGCCCUUACUUCCAAAAAGGAGAUGAAGUCAUGUUCAAGGAAAUCAGACUGUCAUUCCAGGACUUGGGAUUCCAGGCCUAUUUACCUACACUGAUUACACCAAAAAAUAAAAUUUUGGGAGAUGAGGCGUGGGCAACUAGCAAAA